rnacentral:rRNA from 1 species
AGAGUUUGAUCAUGGCUCAGGGUUAACGCUGGCGGCGUGCCUAACACAUGCAAGUCGAACGGUUCUAAGCGCGAGCUUAGGAUAGUGGCGAACGGGUGAGUAAAAGGUAGGAAUCUACCCCUUGGACGGAGAUAGCUACUGGAAACGGUAGGUAAACUUCGAUAAGCCCGAGAGGGGAAAGUGGUGAGACAGCCGAGGGAUGAGCCUACUCUCCAUCAGGUAGUUGGUGAGAUAAAAGCUUACCAAGCCGAUGACGGAUAACCGGUGUGAGAGCAUGAACGGUCACAAGGGCACUGAGAGACGGGCCCUACUCCUACGGGAGGCAGCAGUGGGGAAUCUUGGACAAUGGGCGAAAGCCUGAUCCAGCGACGCCGCGUGGAGGAAGAAGUCCUUCGGGAUGUAAACUUCUGAACCAGCCGAAUAAAAGGCCUGUGGACACACAGGAGAAGAAAGUAGGCUAGGAAAAGUCCCGGCUAACUACGUGCCAGCAGCCGCGGUAAU